UACUUUCCAAACAGAAGUCUCUACGGCUCUACCUCUUCGUCUUCUUCGCUUGAUACCACAAAUAUUCAGCUUGAUUGAUCCACUUCUGUAUAAUCAAUACUCCACUACAUCUCGAUCAAUCAAUUUUUUCUUAAUGAUUUCGUUUCGAUUUUCUCUUUUCCUCCUUCUUUAUAUACUCAUUUUCUUCCUGUGUACAAAUCAAACCCUAGAACUUCUCUAACUUCAAUCUAUGGUGAUGAAACCAAAUGGGAAAUCCCCUAUCACCUCCGAGGAUCUCAGCCGCCGCUACUCCCACCAGCUCAUCUCCGUCGUCGUUUACUGCCACUCACGCGGCGUAAGCUGAUGGGCGUGGAUAUGCUACCUAUUGAUCCAAGGCAAUGUUCACCUUCUUAACACCUUUAAACCAAAGCCGCAACGAAGCAGGAAACUACCGGAGCUUGGCUGAGAUCGCCAUGAAAGCAUAGAAGCAAUAUCCAGCCAACGAAUUUACUUUAUUAAUCUCAGGCUUUAAAAAAGAGUUUACAGACUUAACGUAGGAUGGUUAUCGUGAAUGCAAUAUACCUUGCCCUGUUUGUUGUUCUAUCGCCUGUCUCACCUAAUAAUAUGUCUCAUAAUUUUUUUUUGGUCAUUUUUAUUGUGCCUCACAGUCAGUAAUGUUUCUUUCAUUCAUCACGCCAUUUUCAGGCUCAAAAGGAACGAAUGAAGCAAGAAAUUACAGGAACGGAUCCCACAACAGCCUAACGCCACCAAAAGACGCAAGUAAAAGGCUUCCUCUGGUGAUGAGCUACAAAAUCAAAGGGAUGACAAACGAAUUUGAAGAGUUGGGCAGUCCACAAAGAGAGAGAUGAUGCUGUCACUGCCAAGGAAUUAUCGACAUCUUGAAAAUUUUAAGAGAAGGAAAAGGGCACUAAUGCCCGAGUUGGGGAGCCUGUUCAUGGUUCUAUUGGCAAGAACCGAGAUGUAACUGAAGAGAAGAGUAGCUUUGACCUUGCAGAAACCAAAUAUGGAAACACGGUUGAGAAACGCAGUUAGUAAACUUUUCAAACUUCUAAUGCCCACGGAGAAAUACACCACAGGAGUAAAGAACAUGGUGCUUGAGACACUGUCUUCUGCAAAAAUUGAAGGCUUUGUGGAUGGAUUCAGAGGUGAAACCAAAGCGGCCAGAACGGAAAAAACGGUGGACAAGUAGUUGAGAAUCAUAAGCUGGAGAUGAAGUAAAGAGCAAUGAAAUGGCAUCUUUGGCUAGAUCGAGGGAAAAUCUGAUGCUUCAUGUAGCCUCUUAUGUUUCAUGUAGCCUCUUAUGUUUAGACGUAUGACAUGAGAUUUUCUCAUCCCACGGAUCAGUUGUGCCGGUAGCGACAAGGAGUAUCAAGUUCAAUGCAGACCAAUUAGGAGAUUAAGAAGAGUGUAUGUGGGGGAGAGAGGCUGUGCUGUGUAAGAAUAGGGAGAGGGAAUACUCAUAAGGAUGAAUUUUAGAGAAUUUUGUUGUAGUCAUUGUAGUCAUAAACGGUUAAUUUCAUUAGUUUUCCCAACA